AUGUUCCAUAUCGGUACCUUGGGGGAAUAUCGCUAUAUAAUUGCUACAUACUGUACUUACAAAAUUAUACUUUUCUUUUGUCUUAAUAUUUUCCAAUUACAAUUUUGGUUAGUUGUAAAAAAUAAAAAAAAUUACAAAAAAAUUAAGUAUUUACAAAUUCACAUUGUGAAAAAUAAGUUUAACUCAUUUAUAACAUUGUUGUGGGGUAAAAGCAUAAUUGAGCAUAAUGUAUGUGCGUUAUGGUGUACUGAACAACAUAUUGGAAUAAAGGAUAUAUGGAGAGGAAAAGCCUCAUCAAUACAGGAUUCACGUGAGUUCAUUCUAAUACACCACCGUACCAGCUGUCUACCUGUGCACUACCAUACCAGCUGUCUACCUGUGCACUACUGUACCAGCUGUCUACCUGUGCACUACCGUACCAGCUGUCUACCUGUGCACUACUGUACCAGCUGUCUACCUGUACACUGCCGUACCAGCCGUCUCCAUUGAGUUAGAAUGUAAAGUACCAAAGAUAGAGCAGGAUCAUGUACAUCACGUCUUUACUGACGCGGAACCACAUGUAGAUAAAUGCUAGAAGGCUCCUCCUACUAUGAAAUGUCCGUCUGACGUGGUGCUUAGUGGUCCAUGCAGACUGUUGCGUUGACAAGGUAAAAGGCCUACACAGGGGGCUCUAUUCAAUCUGGGAAGCUGAAGAAGCGUUACAGAGUACGCGAUAGAAAUGUAAACGACACAUGCAUCGUUUACACUUGAGGUAAGUCUUCGCUUAAGCGGGAACAUUGCCUUUACAUUUAUAUAUAUAUAUAUAUAUAUAUAUAUAUAUAUAUUUUUUUUUUUUUAAUUUUUUUUUUAUGUAACCUUUAUUUAAACUAGGCAAGUCAGAUAAGAACAAAUUGUUUAAAUCACACUGUAAGGCUGAACUUCCACAAUGCGGAUUGAAUAGAGCCCCAAGAACACAUGAAAUGUCAUUCAAACAAACACAAAAAAUAUAUAACAAGCCUAAAAAUACAAGAACACGUUAAUAUUAGUGCAAAGGUCUUAUACAUAAAAAUAAAAUAAAAGAAUACACACGUUUAAACAAUAUUAUAUAGUAGCAACACUGUGCUUUGAGCCACAUGUACGUUUGAGUGUGGCGUGACCCUUAGGUAGCCAUAGUAACUAUCAGGUAGCCAUAGUAACCCUCACAGCUAGCCAUAGUUACCCUCCGGUAGCUGUGGGUUAAACCAACAUCUACUCUGAUUUCAAAGUACUCUCGUCUGAGUGUGUCAGAGCGCAGAAUAACGGAUUCAAACGCUCAACACCCGUUGAGUGUGUCCGGUGUCAGUAAACGUCGGGCAAAAAACAACAACGUAAUUCAAUUGCUGCUUGUCACCGACGCUCUAGAUAACAUGAAAACAGCCUAACUAGCUCUGCUAGGGUGAGUAAAAUGGUCAGAGUGAGAUGUUAUCUCAUUUGUGUCUGGAAGUAGCUAGUUAACCGUUAGCCUGUUAGCUUGGGUGUUUGACUGCUUUUUGUCUUCUCCAAUACUUGCUGGACGGUUGCUUCAGUUAGCUGGACAUGUUCAGUAUUUUAGCUCCUGAGUUGACGCUGUAUACUAUACACGCUUUGUGGCAGGCAGGGUCUUAGCUGGUACUGUGUAGAUCACUAUAUGGCAGGGUCUUAGCUGGUACUGUGUAGAUCACUAUAUGGCAGGGUCUUAGCUGGUACUGUGUAGAUCACUAUAUGGCAGGGUCUUAGCUGGUACUGUGUAGAUCACUAUAUGGCAGGGUCUUAGCUGGUACUGUGUAGAUCACUAUAUGGCAGGGUCUUAGCUGGUACUGUGUAGAUCACUAUAUGGCAGGGUCUUAGCUGGUACUGUGUAGAUCACUCUUUGGCAGGGUCUUAGCUGGUACUGUGUAGAUCACUAUAUGGCAGGGUCUUAGCUGGUACU
rnacentral:lncRNA from 1 species